rnacentral:rRNA from 1 species
AGACCCGAAACCCGGUGAUCUAGCCAUGGGCAGGUUGAAGGUUGGGUAACACUAACUGGAGGACCGAACCGACUAAUGUUGAAAAAUUAGCGGAUGACCUGUGGCUGGGGGUGAAAGGCCAAUCAAACCGGGAGAUAGCUGGUUCUCCCCGAAAGCUAUUUAGGUAGCGCCUCGUGAAUUCAUCUCCGGGGGUAGAGCACUGUUUCGGCUAGGGGGCCAUCCCGGCUUACCAACCCGAUGCAAACUGCGAAUACCGGAGAAUGUUAUCACGGGAGACACACGGCGGGUGCUAACGUCCGUCGUGAAGAGGGAAACAACCCAGACCGCCAGCUAAGGUCCCAAAGUCAUGGUUAAGUGGGAAACGAUGUGGGAAGGCCCAGACAGCCAGGAUGUUGGCUUAGAAGCAGCCAUCAUUUAAAGAAAGCGUAAUAGCUCACUGGUCGAGUCGGCCUGCGCGGAAGAUGUAACGGGGCUAAACCAUGCACCGAAGCUGCGGCAGCGACACUGUGUGUUGUUGGGUAGGGGAGCGUUCUGUAAGCCUGUGAAGGUGUGUCGUGAGGCAUGCUGGAGGUAUCAGAAGUGCGAAUGCUGACAUAAGUAACGAUAAAGCGGGUGAAAAGCCCGCUCGCCGGAAGACCAAGGGUUCCUGUCCAACGUUAAUCGGGGCAGGGUGAGUCGACCCCUAAGGCGAGGCCGAAAGGCGUAGUCGAUGGGAAACGGGUUAAUAUUCCCGUACUUGGUGUUACUGCGAAGGGGGGACGGAGAAGGCUAUGUUGGCCGGGCGACGGUUGUCCCGGUUUAAGCGUGUAGGUGUGUGUUCCAGGUAAAUCCGGUUCACUUUAACACUGAGGCGUGACGACGAGGCACUACGGUGCUGAAGCAACAAAUGCCCUGCUUCCAGGAAAAGCCUCUAAGCAUCAGGUAACAUCAAAUCGUACCCCAAACCGACACAGGUGGUCAGGUAGAGAAUACCAAGGCGCUUGAGAGAACUCGGGUGAAGGAACUAGGCAAAAUGGUGCCGUAACUUCGGGAGAAGGCACGCUGACACGUAGGUGAAGUGAUUUACUCAUGGAGCUGAAGUCAGUCGAAGAUACCAGCUGGCUGCAACUGUUUAUUAAAAACACAGCACUGUGCAAACACGAAAGUGGACGUAUACGGUGUGACGCCUGCCCGGUGCCGGAAGGUUAAUUGAUGGGGUCAGCGCAAGCGAAGCUCCUGAUCGAAGCCCCGGUAAACGGCGGCCGUAACUAUAACGGUCCUAAGGUAGCGAAAUUCCUUGUCGGGUAAGUUCCGACCUGCACGAAUGGCGUAAUGAUGGCCAGGCUGUCUCCACCCGAGACUCAGUGAAAUUGAACUCGCUGUGAAGAUGCAGUGUACCCGCGGCAAGACGGAAAGACCCCGUGAACCUUUACUAUAGCUUGACACUGAACAUUGAGCCUUGAUGUGUAGGAUAGGUGGGAGGCUUUGAAGUGUGGACGCCAGUCUGCAUGGAGCCGACCUUGAAAUACCACCCUUUAAUGUUUGAUGUUCUAACGUGGACCCGUUACCCGGGUUGCGGACAGUGUCUGGUGGGUAGUUUGACUGGGGCGGUCUCCUCCUAAAGAGUAACGGAGGAGCACGAAGGUUGGCUAAUCCUGGUCGGACAUCAGGAGGUUAGUGCAAUGGCAUAAGCCAGCUUGACUGCGAGCGUGACGGCGCGAGCAGGUGCGAAAGCAGGUCAUAGUGAUCCGGUGGUUCUGAAUGGAAGGGCCAUCGCUCAACGGAUAAAAGGUACUCCGGGGAUAACAGGCUGAUACC